CCCUACUAUCUGCAGCUCUGCACAGUGGAAAACACAAACACACCAGAAACGCACUGACGUUUUGAUAAAAUUUCCGAAGCAAGCGUGAAUGAGCGUGUUGCUCACAAGCAUACGCCGUGAAAAACAUGAAUCUGCAGGUCUCCUCUCGCUUGAAGAUAUGUGUGAAGAACAGAUAUCAACCCAUGACCAGUAAGUAACAAACUGAUCCUUCGCGUUCAUACAGGACAUGAUGAUUGGGUUUAAUAGCAUGCUAUGCAUGACACCUGCAUCCACUUGUUACGACACUGCAGGCAAAACCUCUCUGAUCCUGCAGCGAGGGAUCCGCAAAUAUCACACAAUAUCAUUUACAAUACUGAUGGGCUACAGUGCGAUUUUCCAAUAUCAGUGAUUUCUGUGAAUGCUACUUUCCAGUAUCUGUUAUUCUUAACUGUGAAUUGUCGCAGUUAAGGAACGAAGGUCGUGUAUCCCUCCACCACUGCGAUUUCUGCGACUUAUAUACCGUAUGAAAAAGUUACAUCUGCCCACACAGAAAAUUGUAACUCAACAAAUCUGUCAUUGGUACCCGAACUACAAUUCAGUCACUCAGUAAAUUGAUAACUCAAAAUAUCAUCGUCAACAGAUCUGGAAAAAUUGCCACUGCGUCUUUAGACCGUUUUCGUCAGACGAGAGACACAGUUCUGACUCUUGAUUACUGGUUGCUGUACGUAUCUAUCCACAUCAAGGCUGUUGAGAGAGACUCGUGAAGAUUCAAGACGGCUCUUAGAGGAUUUGCAGUUUAAAAGUGACAUAAUUGUGAAAUAAGUGUGGAGCUGAGUGAUUAAACUGUGUUUUAUUGAAGUUGUUAUGCGAUUUUAAAGGAAUAAUAAAUGUUAAAUACAGUGAGU